UACGAAGGGUGCAAACGUUGCUCGGAAUUAUUGGGCGUAAAGCGCACGUAGGCGGCUUAGUAAGUUGGAUGUGAAAUCCCUCGGCUUAACCAAGGAAGUGCAUCCAAAACUACUGAGCUUGAGUACUAAAGAGGAUCGCGGAAUUCCCGGUGUAGAGGUGAAAUUCGUAGAUAUUCGGAAGAACACCAGUGGCGAAGGCGACUGACUGGACAAGUAUUGACGCUGAGGUGCGAAAGCGUGGGGAGCAAACAGG
rnacentral:rRNA from 1 species